rnacentral:lncRNA from 1 species
GUAUUUAUUUUACAUAAGUUCCCCAAUUUUUUUGAAUAUUUGUACAAACAUUAUAAAUGUAAAUGUAUUUAUUUUUUUGCUUAUACACCUGCCUAUACUGGAAAAUAUUUCAACAACGAUUUUUUAAAUUAUACAAAUAAUAUACCAAGUAACAUCAAUAAAACAGGUACAUGUGCGUUUAGGAAGCAUCCCUCUAUAAAAAACAAUUUGAUUAACGAAGCAUAUUCAUUAACUGAUAAAAGUCCAACAAAAAAAAAAAAAAAAAGUGUUUUUAGUAGGAACCUUAUGAAUUUGGAUAAUAAAACGGAGGUAGAGUGUACACAGAAGAAGUUAUUCAAAGGAGUGGAUGAACCAUGUAAAAAAAUACAAAGUGUAGAGGAGAUACUUAAAGAAGAUGUAAGGGUGAACAUAAUAAGAAAAAAUACUAACUACAUGAGUGAUUGCUCUAAAAAUGUUAAUGAUAAUAAUGAUAAUAUUAAUGAUAAUUAUAAAAAUGUUAAGGAUAAAAAAUUCGAUACUGAUAGAGAAAAUAAUAUACAUGAUAGCAAUAUCCAUAAAAAUGAUGACAUUUAUAAACUUGUAGUUAAAGACCAAACCAAAAUACAAUGUAAUAAUAAAAAAGCAUUAUUUGAUACAAAUAUUCAUAAUGACAGUAAUGACAACGAAAAUUUAAUUGAUAUAAAUACAGAAAGAAAACACAUAAACACUGAAUAUUGUAAAACUAUAACUAUAGCGAAAAAAAACGAUGAUAGGAGAAUGAUAGAUGAAAAAAAUAAUACAAUAAUGAAUAGGAAAAAUAAUAUAAAAUGGAAAGACCCAAAUAAUGUAAACAAUAAAAGGUUUGAUCGUCUGCGAAAAUUUUUCAGAAACCGAAAUGUGAGUAAUGAUAAUAAGUAUGAUAAUAUGGAGUACGACGGAGGUGGUGAUAGGUAUGACAGUAUUGGUAGUAGUGAUAGUAUUGGUAGUAGUGAUAGUAUUAGUAUUAGUAGUGGUAGAAUUAGUAGUGAGGACAAACAUAAUAACCACAACUGCGAAAACAAGAACGAAGAUGACACGUUCAAUGCAACUAACAAUGCAACUAACAAUGCAACUAACAAUGCAACUAGCAAUAUAUAUGAUGAAAACAACAAACUACACACAAGGGUAUCCAAUAAUAAUAGAAUUUACAACCUAUUUAAUAAAAAUAAACAAAAGUUUAUUGACUUUUAUAAUUCGAAAAAGCAUCAGAAGCUAUUUAAAUUUAAUCAUAUGAAUCAGAUUUAUGAUGAUAAUAAAAAUGAAAGUAAUAACACAGAGACUAAUUUAGAUAAAUAUUUAUUAAAAAAAAAAAAAAAAAAUUUAGAUUAUAUGAAUUUACAACAUAAGUUUAAUGCUGCUGACAUAUACCAAGAGUAUAUUUUUUUAAAUGAAAAAGAUGGAGGAAGAAAAAAAAAAGAUGGUUCAAACGAUUAUCACCCUAAUUUAUUAUCACAUAUGCUAAACAAUAGUUGUGUUGAUGAAACAAGAGCAGGAGCAGGAACAGAGACAGGGGCAGAAGAAGAGACCGAAACUGAUAGCGAAACCGAAACCGAAUCAAAUGAUCAGGACCAUUCAAAUAUUAACGAUAUACUGUUAAUCGAUUUGGAACUAAAAAUUAUGAAGAAUAUGAAAAUGAAUUAUUGCAAUAUAUUAACUGAUCAACAGAAUGAAAAUGUACAAAAUGAAAAAGUAUUAAAUGAUUUAAAAAAAAACGAUAAUUCACAAAAUGAAGCAAAUAUUUCAAAUGACAAUAAAAUAUACUUUGAUUUGAAUAAUGAAAAAUAUGAGCUGGAUUUGAAUUUGUAUAAAACUAAAUGCGAUAAGUUUUAUAGUUCCUAUAAAAGUAAAAAUAUAUCUAAUUAUGAGCAUGUAUAUGGUUAUAGUCAUAGUAAUAGUAAUAAUAAUGAGACCACAUGUAUAAGCAACACAAAAAGUGAACGGGGAACUACUCUGAACAGUGACGACUUUAUUAGUAGUAAUUUUGAAAACGAUUCCGAGCGUGAAAAUAAUUUUAAUGUAAAUAGUAAUAAACAUAUAACCAAUGUCAACCGAAAUAAUAUAAAUCGCAAAUGCCUUAACGUUGUAGAAACGACAAAAACGAAAAAGCAAAAAAAAAAAAGAAAAAAAAAAAAAGAAAAAAAAAAACGUUACCCAAAUUUUCUAUCAUUAAUUUUGAAGAAAGUCAAGAUAAAAAUAUAGGAUUUUAUUUUUAUAAUAUAGUUGAAUAUUACCCUAGAUAUUUUUAUAACAUUGUUCAACUAAUAUAUAUAAAUAUAAUUUUAGUUUUUAUUUAUUUUUAUUGUUUUUUUAUUAUAUCAGUA